rnacentral:rRNA from 1 species
UACGUAGGGUGCAAGCGUUGUCCGGAAUUAUUGGGCGUAAAGGGCUCGUAGGCGGUCCAUCGCGUCGGGAGUGAAAAGCUGGGGCUUAACCCCAGUCCUGCUUCCGAUACGGGUGGACUAGAGGUAGGUAGGGGAGAACGGAAUUCCUGGUGUAGCGGUGAAAUGCGCAGAUAUCAGGAGGAACACCGGUGGCGAAGGCGGUUCUCUGGGCAGUACCUGACGCUGAGGAGCGAAAGUGUGGGGAGCGAACAGG